UUAGAUGGGGUGUAUAUCAACUUGAUAAAUUAGUUUAAUUUGGGGACCCUUACCCUUUGCGCACGUCCCAGAUUACGCCCUCAUUAUUCUCAUUAUAGCCCUUUUCUCGUGACGGCCAGCGGCUGCAAAAAGGAGAAAGCGACUCAAACAAACCGUUGGCCCAAAUUCCAUUCUUUGUUUUCUGUGUUUGUGUGUUCAGGCCUCCACUGCUGAGGAUGGAGAGAGGGACAUGGCAUUCAGUGUCGGGGGGGUUCUCAUGAUCCGUCUGGAAAGCCAGACGACGUGGGAAUUGUGAUCAACACAUUGAUGUCCUGAAACAACACAGAUGGGGUCCUCAUGACAUUCAUCAUGCUUCGUGCUCAUUUGUGCCAUUGAUCUGAGCUUUCUAAACAACCUUAAGUACAGCAUGAGGCUUUUCCAGAAGAUCAUAAAAGAAAUUCAAAGAUACAGCAACUGAAGAUCAAGUUGUUUGCACAGGAGUCAAACACCAAGUGGUCCAUGGAGAAUGAGCAGAACGUUCAAUGCAAAGAUUUCUCCUCUUUGGAAAGCAGUGCGAAGCCUCCACCCUCGUGGCGUCUUUGUUGCGUCAGGUACCAUGACAUUUGGGAUAGCUUUGGAUUUAUGUUUCACUAUUUAAUACUAUUUAAGAUAUAUAUUAAUAUUUCAUCAGGAAAUAUCCACAUGCUAACUCUCUCAAAUCUGACACUGACAUUCUCUCACGAUCUACUUUUGUAUGUUACCAAACUAACUGCCGGACAUAAAAGUGGAAGUUUACCUAUAACUCUGUGUACAGCUAGUGAUAAAGUUUAGCUUGUCGUAAGCAAGACUGAGAGCAAAGAUUGUCGUAAGCAAGACUGAGAGCAAAGAGUACAAUAAACCUUGUACCCUGAUGCUGAUACCAGCUGUGGAAUUUGGCAAGAGUGCUGCCGUUUGGGUACUACUACUACUACUACUACUACACAAGAACAGCUUUGCAUAUUGAUUUGUAUACUUCCAACAUCUCCGGGUCAUGAUGAAAUGUAGGCCCACACAAGUUGGUACAAUUUUCAGUUUGUUUACUGUUAACUUAUUAUGAUAAGAUAAUGAAUGCAGCUUCAACAAAGUAAAGUAAACCAUGACUUGAUUUGACAUAGUGGGAGCUUUCUGUGUGAUGCGGCUCGGUGCUUCAUGCUCAUUUGCAAUGUAAAGUGUGAAGAGGAGUGGAGCUGCGUCUGCUCCCUGUGGAACGCCCGCACUCCAGAUAGCCAGUCUUUUCUAUUACUAGAGGGCUCUAUGAUGAUGAUGGGCAAAAUGUACAACAUUUAGUGAGGUUAUGAUUGGCUGGAGGGGCAAUCGUUACUACAUCCACUUAACUAAAGAUCACUGCUGUAAGCCCCGAGGCUACACGGGGAACGUGAGCGUGAAUGGCCGUCUCUUUUUGUGUGUCAGCGCUGGGAUUGACCGAUGACCUGUUCAAGGCGUACGCCACCUCUCAUCCCGAUGUUGGAGCUGCAGCUGCAGCCACGCACGACCCUCCAAGCGGUUGAAGAUAAUACAUGGAUGGAUUUUUGACCUCACAAGAUGCACCUAAAGAAUAUCUUUCAUACGCACUUCUGAUAUGAUCAGGAGAAUGGUUAAAGAAUGUGUCUAGAGUCAAUUACAUGUGGAUUUGUGCUUUGAAUCAUGCCUUGUCCAUUAAGUCAUUUUCUCUCCCUCUCUCUCUACCUCUUUUGAAUAGGCACUUCCUCAUUUUAAUGUUUAUCUUUAUCUGCAUCAUGGCUUUCUUCAUUUUAUGAAUCUACCUUUUUUCUUAUUUCUCUGGCAUUUGCGUUAUUUUGCGUAAUAAUGCAUGACAUUUUCCAUUCACUGCAGUGCUUCAACAUUUGAAUGUUUUGAAUGAAUGCUUUUACAUUUGCAUAUACAGUAUAAGCAGGCAGCUUUUUAGCACAUAAACAGAUGCAUUUUAUGCUUAUGUAAGUAGCAGCAUUGUUGGCAAUACAUUGAAUUAAAUAAGGGGCUUCUACUUUCACAAAUGUGUAGCUGCAUUGAUAAUGUUUGGCCGGUGCCCCAAAUUAAAAUGCAGCUUUAAGACUUUUUACAUCAUAUCGUAGCAUAUAAUGUUAUUAGCAGUUACAGCUUAAAAAUCAAUGUUGCAUCUACUAUUCUUGCAGUCUGGAUUGUUAGUGGAGGCAACUUCUUUGUUUGCUAGAACACCUGUGAAGGACCACUUAACAAAAGUGAGAAAAUCAACCUCAAG
ensembl:lncRNA